CACCCGUCUCGGAUAUUUGGUAUUUUAAUUCACGUAUUUAAUUAAAUUAUGCGUCACGGGGUUAAAUUGCAUACAUUAGAAGCGUGAGGGCUUGUGUGUGAUUUGAGAAUUGGAGCAUGAUAGCAUGUGGUCUUGUUGGCACACAAUAAUCUUCCUUAGAGUUUAUCAAACUGGAGUACGUGUUCUAUUUUCUUUUCUUCGUUGAUACACGUAGAGAGAGAGAGAGAGAGAGGAACGGCAUGAGGAAGAAGAGAAGAAUAGGGGAAAACUUAGAGAAGAUUUAACUAGCCUUGAAUUGAAGUUUAAUUAGGUAACGAGCUGAGUAAUCGGGAGGUGCCAAAACCGUGAUUUGGCAUACUUUGGUCGACUCACAGGUGAGUAUGUUUGAUAUCUUAUAUCUUCAAUAAGAUAUUAACAUGUUGGUUGUGCAUCAUGCUAUGGUUGGUUUAGUUACUGGCGUGCAUGAUUGGUGUAUGUUGAUUGUACCCGUAUAAGGUUUGUGGAGUGAGUCACACCUUGUCGUGGGCCGUGCCAUUCUAUUUACGGUGAAUGGGAGCUUGGUGUGCGGGACACAAUACCUUGGGUACAUGGGAUGUGGCAGACGUGUCACUGCAUGUGUUGUGAACAUAAAUUGUAGUUGUUCAGUUAGUUGUUUAUGUUGAGUUUUAUUGGAUUUAUUCUAUAUCUUACACACUCCUGAUUUUCCUUUGGAUUGUCAGAUAGCAGGGGUUCGUAGGUUGGUCCACUACCGGUCGGCGUUUUGGAGUUGGCUUUGAGGAUGUUGAUUGUGUCGGUGGUAGUGAGUUGUCUUGUAUAUAUAAUCGACUCGUUUUGUAAAGGAUGUUUUGCACUUUAGUUUGCCAAGUAUGUAAAGUUAUGGGUAUAACGUCGACUCUUUUAAUAAUAUUAAUGUUAAGUCUUCCGCUGGUUUAUUCUGAAUUAA